ensembl:lncRNA
ACAAGUGGUGAUGGGAACAAACAGAGGUUGUCAGGGACCUUAAACCUCAUCAUGCUGAACAGGGACCUCCAUUACAGGCCAGAAGAAGACGCACACUCGGAGCGGGCCACUGCAGGGAGCUGCAUUCAUCAGAUUCUACCUUCCCCAUUUUAUUUGUGUAUCUGCUCUUCCUUCUUCAGUCAGAUAAAAAGAGCCAUCGGGUGGACAGGCCAAGCCUGAUGAAUACAGAAGGGAAGGAGGAGGGUGGGAGAUUAGAGCCCUGGAGAGAGAGAGAGAAAGAGCUUGCUGGAAAACGAAAGAUAAGCGGAAAGAGGUGAACAGGAACACUUGUCACUGCAGAUGUUGGCCUUGAUUUCUCCGAGCGGGAGAGAAGAUGUUCACGAGUGUGGCUGGACAUAAUGUAGUGGCCAAAUCUGUAAGGUCCUCCUCUCAGAACUCUGUGACAGCGCUGUUCCCUGAAGAUAUGGAGUAACAUGUUCAUAAGGUCAGCAGACCAACAACAGUUCUUCUGCCAAAUAUUAAAGGAAUGUUCCGGACUCUAUACAAGUUAAGGUCAAUCAACGGCAUUUGGGGCAAUGUUGUUUACCACAAAAAUAAAUUUGACUUAAAAAAAUCA